CACGUACUCUAAUAUUCUUUGUUUUAUUUACAGCUUCAAAAAAUAUUUUUACAAUCUAGAAACAUAGCCUAUUGGAGUACAUACAUGUGUACUCCAAUGUGUCAGACUGAACUGCAUUUUUUGCCUAAAUUUAAUUAAAUUAAUUAAAUUCUGACGCUGCUUAUUUACACAAAAACAACGAAUUUAUUUUAAAUAAAAAUAUACGCUUGUAGUUACACAAAUCAAACACCAGAUGUGCGCAAGUGAGCUGCUCUGAAACCCCUCCUUCUGGGCGGACCUUCUGUGUUAAACCCUCCCGCUUCCUCUCAGAUUUCCUCCCAUUUUCUCCCCCUUCUCCAGGCCCCACCCGACCAUCUGCCACAAGGCCGACAUUUCCUGCACUCCAGCUGCCAGGCCGGAGUUUAUUCUAUUCCUGCUUUUCUGGGGAUAACAGGAUGAAAGGAUCCCAUUCAUCCAUCGCCCCCUCCCUCCCUCUUUCCUUUAUUUAAUCUCCCGGGAAACAAGCAAGUUUGAGGCAAAAAGAGAAUGCCGCAUAAACACGCAUGCUGUUCUCGCGCCAAGCGUCCACACGCGGGAAAGAUAUCUAGAUGGCAGACAUGAUGGGGUGAACGGGCCUGAUGAGCCAGAUUGGAGUCUUUAUCAGAUUACAGACCCUAUUAAACGAUCUGCACAGCAGCAGUGCCGGAUGAGUGUCAUCUCACUGCAGCAUUGGAUGUGAUUGUAUCUCAACCUUACCAGAGGUUGAUAAAAUGCCUGGGGUCACAGCCAGAUCAGUCUCUCUCCUCUAAACUGCCGGCCGACUGCUUUAGUCAUCACUUAAACACAUAAUACUGCUUGAGAGUGCAGAUAACCAAUCAGUAAUGAGAACUGGAUAUAGCUGCAAGCUGAUUGGAGGAAGUGUGUGGGAGUCUCCAGGUAAAACAACUCACCCAUGUGAGAAAAACAACAUCCCUACUGUUGUCUCCCCCUUUGUUGAAGUCAGCAACAUUAGAUAGAUAGAUAGAUAGAUAGAUAGAUAGAUAGAUAGAUAGAUAGAUAGAUAGAUAGAUAGAUAGAUAGAUAGAUGGAUAGAUAGAUAGAUAGUCUUUAAUCUUUUUUUGAUAAGCAUAGAAAGUCUUCGUCUGAAGUGACGUCUUCAUCUCUGUUAAAUUACAGUCACCCUCAUUAGCCUUUAUGAGAGCAAUCGCAAACAUACGCUUCAGAUUACAUGGCUGUGUGUAAAGCGUGUACAGUGUGGAAUCACACUUCCAUGGAUGUUUAGAGCAGAACCAAAGAGAGAGGCAUCUUAUCUCAUCAUUCUGCCCUUCAUCUGUCAGUCUGUCACAACUCAAUUAGCUUCAGGCUAACCCCACAAAUGGCAUCCAUCACCUCAUCAUCACCUCAUGUUCACAUUCG
ensembl:lncRNA